CCUACGGGAGGCAGCAGUGAGGAAUAUUGGUCAAUGGGCUUACGCCUGAACCAGCCAAGUCGCGUGAGGGAAGACUGCCCUAUGGGUUGUAAACCUCUUUUGUCAGGGAGCAACGCCGGCUACGUGUAGCCGGACUGAGAGUACCUGAAGAAAAAGCAUCGGCUAACUCCGUGCCAGCAGCCGCGGUAAUACGGAGGAUGCGAGCGUUAUCCGGAUUGAUUGGGUUUAAAGGGUGCGUAGGCGGAAUGCCAAGUCAGCGGUAAAAUCGCGGGGCUCAACCUCGCCCCGCCGUUGAAACUGGCGUUCUUGAGUGGGCGAGAAGUAUGCGGAAUGCGUGGUGUAGCGGUGAAAUGCAUAGAUAUCACGCAGAACUCCGAUUGCGAAGGCAGCAUACCGGCGCCCAACUGACGCUGAAGCACGAAAGCGUGGGUAUCGAACAGGAUUAGAUACCCUUGUAGUC
rnacentral:rRNA from 1 species